UUUGGAGGCAGAUUAAA
rnacentral:sRNA from 1 species